rnacentral:rRNA from 1 species
GUAGGUGGCAAGCGUUAUCCGGAAUUAUUGGGCGUAAAGCGCGCGCAGGCGGUUUCUUAAGUCUGAUGUGAAACGCCCACGGCUCAACCGUGGAGGGUCAUUGGAAACUGGGGAACUUGAGUGCAGAAGAGAAAAGCGGAAUUCCACGUGUAGCGGUGAAAUGCGUAGAGAUGUGGAGGAACACCAGUGGCGAAGGCGGCUUUUUGGUCUGUAACUGACGCUGAGGCGCGAAAGCGUGGGGAGCAAACAGGGAUUAGAUACCCUGGUAGUCCACGCCGUAAACGAUGAGUGCUAAGUGUUAGAGGGUUUUCCGCCCCUUUAGUGCUGCAGCUAACGCAUUAAGCACCCCCGCCUGGGAUACGGUCGCAAGACUG